ACGCUGGCGGCACGCCUAACACAUGCAAGUCGAACGAAGUAGCAAUACUUAGUGGCAGACGGGUGAGUAACAUGUAGGUAUCUACCCUUUGGCCUGGAAUAACACGAGGAAACUUGUGCUAAUACCGGAUAAGUCUUUACAGAGAAAGCUUUAUGCACCAUUGGACGAGCCUGCACUUGAUUAGUUUGUUGGUGGGGUAAUGGCCUACCAAGACUGUGAUCAAUAGCUGAUUUGAGAGGAUGAUCAGCCACAUUGGGACUGAGACACGGCCCAAACUCCUACGGGAGGCAGCAGUGGGGAAUCUUGCACAAUGGAGGAAACUCUGAUGCAGCGAUGCCGCGUGAGUGAAGAAGGCCCUUGGGUUGUAAAGCUCUUUCGUCGGGGAAGAAAAUGACUGUACCCGAAUAAGAAGGUCCGGCUAACUUCGUGCCAGCAGCCGCGGUAAUACGAAGGGACCUAGCGUAGUUCGGAAUUACUGGGCUUAAAGAGUUCGUAGGUGGUUGAAAAAGUUGGUGGUGAAAUCCCAGAGCUUAACUCUGGAACUGCCAUCAAAACUUUUCAGCUAGAGUAUGAUAGAGGAAAGCAGAAUUUCUAGUGUAGAGGUGAAAUUCGUAGAUAUUAGAAAGAAUACCAAUUGCGAAGGCAGCUUUCUGGAUCAUUACUGACACUGAGGAACGAAAGCAUGGGUAGCGAAGAGGAUUAGAUACCCUCGUAGUCCAUGCCGUAAACGAUGUGUGUUAGACGUUGGAAAUUUAUUUUCAGUGUCGCAGUGAAAGCGAUAAACACACCGCCUGGGGAGUACGACCGCA
rnacentral:rRNA from 1 species